rnacentral:rRNA from 1 species
AGCAGCCGCGGUAAUUCCAGCUCCAAUAGCGUAUAUUAAAGUUGUUGCAGUUAAAAAGCUCGUAGUUGAAUUUCGAGACCGGUUUACUGGUCGUGCUUUUGUACGUACUGGUAUAAUCAGUUUCUCUCUUCUGACGAACUAUAAUGCCAUUAAUUUGGUGUUAUGGGAAAUCAGGACUGUUACUUUGAAAAAUUAGAGUGUUUAAAGCAGGCUCACGCUUGAAUACAUUAGCAUGGAAUAACGAAAUAGGACGUUUGAUUCUAUUUUGUUGGUUUCUAGGAUCGACGUAAUGAUUAAUAGGGAUAGUUGGGGCAUUAGUAUUCAAUUGUCAGAGGUGAAAUUCUUGGAUUUAUUGAAGACUAACUACUGCGAAAGCAUUUGCCAAGGAUGUUUCAUUAAUACAAGAACGAAAGUUAGGGAUCGAAGACGAUCAG